rnacentral:rRNA from 1 species
GACGAACGCUGGCGGCGUGCCUAAUACAUGCAAGUAGGACGCAGUUGCGAACGGGUGAGUAACGCGUAGGUAACUACCUAUUAGAGGGGGAUAACUAUUGGAAACGAUAGCUAAUACCGCAUACUAGUAUAUGGACCUGCGUUGUAUUAGCUAGUAGGUAGGGUAAUGGCCUACCUAGGCAACGAUACAUAGCCGAGCUGAGAGGGGGAGUGGGCACACGGGGAAUGAGAAACGGCCCAGACCCCGACGGGAGGCAGCAGGAGGGAAUCUUCGGAAAUGGGGGGAACCCUGAACGAGCAACGCCGCGGGAGGGAAGAAGGUUUUCGGAUCGUAAAGCUCUGUUGUUAAGGAAGCGGUACUUAACCAGAAAGGGACGGCUAACUACGUGCCAGCAGCCGCGGUAAUUC